rnacentral:rRNA from 1 species
GAUGAACGCUGGCGGCGUGCCUAAUACAUGCAAGUCGAGCGAACAGACGAGGAGCUUGCUCCUCUGAUGUUAGCGGCGGACGGGCGAGUAACACGUGGAUAACCUACCUAUAAGACUGGGAUAACUUCGGGAAACCGGAGCUAAUACCGGAUAACAUGUUGAACCGCAUGGUUCAACAGUGAAAGACGGUCUUGCUGUCACUUAUAGAUGGAUCCGCGCCGCAUUAGCUAGUUGGUAAGGUAACGGCUUACCAAGGCAACGAUGCGUAGCCGACCUGAGAGGGUGAUCGGCCACACUGGAACUGAGACACGGUCCAGACUCCUACGGGAGGCAGCAGUAGGGAAUCUUCCGCAAUGGGCGAAAGCCUGACGGAGCAACGCCGCGUGAGUGAAGAAGGUCUUCGGAUCGUAAAACUCUGUUAUUAGGGAAGAACAAAUGUGUAAGUAACUAUGCACGUCUUGACGGUACCUAAUCAGAAAGCCACGGCUAACUACGUG